rnacentral:rRNA from 1 species
GACGAACGCUGGCGGCGUGCUUAACACAUGCAAGUCGAACGGAAAGGCCCCUUUGGGGGUACUCGAGUGGCGAACGGGUGCGUAACACGUGAGUAACCUGCCCUUGACUUCGGGAUAACUUCAGGAAACUGGGGCUAAUACCGGAUAGGAAUCCUUGCUGCAUGGUGGGGUUGGAAAGCUUCGGCGGUUUUGGAUGGACUCGCGGCUUAUCAGCUUGUUGGUGGGGUAGUGGCUUACCAAGGCUUUGACGGGUAGCCGGCCUGAGAGGGCGACCGGCCACAUUGGGACUGAGAUACGGCCCAGACUCCUACGGGAGGCAGCAGUGGGGAAUAUUGCACAAUGGGCGGAAGCCUGAUGCAGCAACGCCGCGUGCGGGAUGACGGCCUUCGGGUUGUAAACCGCUUUCAGCAGGGGCGAAGCUUGUGGUGACGGUACCUGCAGAAGAAGCACCGGCUAACUACGUG